AGCAGCAGCCACGGGAAUACGUAGGUGGCAAGCGUUGUCCGGAAUUAUUGGGCGUAAAGGGCUCGCAGGCGGUUUCUUAAGUCUGAUGUGAAAGCCCCCGGCUCAACCGGGGAGGGUCAUUGGAAACUGGGAAACUUGAGUGCAGAAGAGGAGAGUGGAAUUCCACGUGUAGCGGUGAAAUGCGUAGAGAUGUGGAGGAACACCAGUGGCGAAGGCGACUCUCUGGUCUGUAACUGACGCUGAGGAGCGAAAGCGUGGGGAGCGAACAGGAUUAGAUACCCCUGUAGUCCCUGUCUCUUAUAC
rnacentral:rRNA from 1 species